CAGCAGCCGCGGUAAUACGAAGGGGGCUAGCGUUGCUCGGAAUUACUGGGCGUAAAGGGCGCGUAGGCGGACAGUUCAGUCGGGGGUGAAAGCCCGGGGCUCAACCUCGGAAUUGCCUUCGGUACUGGCUGUCUUGAGUAUGAGAGAGGUGUGUGGAACUCCGAGUGUAGAGGUGAAAUUCGUAGAUAUUCGGAAGAACACCAGUGGCGAAGGCGACACACUGGCUCAUUACUGACGCUGAGGCGCGAAAGCGUGGGGAGCAAACAGGAUUAGAUACCCCAGUAGUCCCUGUCUCUUAUAC
rnacentral:rRNA from 1 species